CUGUGAUCCUGAACCCCGGGAAGUGAAUCCUCAGUGGAGGAAGGCACUCACCUCCCACGCCUGUCUUCUGUUGGGCCAGAGAAAAGUUGGCCUCGGGCUUAGGAAAAGGCUGGCAACAGCAUCCAUUUAGAAGUGUCCAUUACCAUCUACAGCUGCUGCUG